AGCUUUGCGCAGUGGCAGUAUCGUAGCCAAUGAGGUUUAUCUGAGGCACGAUUAUCGCUAAUUUAAAACAGCUAGAUAGUAAAUACUUUAGACUUUUAGCUCACAUGGUCUCUGCUACAACUACUCAACUCUGCUGUUAUUUGAAAGCACAGACAUGAG
rnacentral:snRNA from 1 species